ACAGAUAGAGGCGCGGUUUUCAUCAGUAUCGCCUGACAGGGUCCGCAAACCCGUUCAUCAGCCGAAAAAGGGUCUUCCGCCGAAGUCGGUCGUUCUGUUGCGGCAGGACCGUACUGGAUGCUGCGGAUAAAAUCCCUGCGUCUGUCAUCAGCAGAAAUGCCGGUGGAGAGCUAA
rnacentral:ncRNA from 1 species